GACGAACGCUGGCGGCGUGCCUAACACAUGCAAGUCGAACGGAACUGUUUUGAAAGAUUUCUUCGGAAUGAAUUUGAUUUAGUUUAGUGGCGGACGGGUGAGUAACGCGUGAGUAACCUGCCUUCAAGAGGGGAAUAACAUUCUGAAAAGAAUGCUAAUACCGCAUGACAUAUCGGAACCACAUGGUUUUGAUCUCAAAGAUUUUAUCGCUUGAAGAUGGACUCGCGUCCGAUUAGUUAGUUGGUGAGGUAACGGCUCACCAAGACCGCGAUCGGUAGCCGGACUGAGAGGUUGAACGGCCACAUUGGGACUGAGACACGGCCCAGACUCCUACGGGAGGCAGCAGUGGGGGAUAUUGCGCAAUGGGGGCAACCCUGACGCAGCAACGCCGCGUGAAGGAUGAAGGUUUUCGGAUUGUAAACUUCUUUUAUUAAGGACGAAAAAUGACGGUACUUAAUGAAUAAGCUCCGGCUAACUACGUG
rnacentral:rRNA from 1 species